rnacentral:ncRNA from 1 species
AUCGGUUCGCUGAAAGACGCGAUUAAAAUGGGAAAGCGGUGAGAAUCCGCUACUGUCCCGCAGCUGUAUGUUGCAAGACGAGGAGGCCAAAGCCACUGGUCGUCCCGCUCCGCUCCUCUUGUGGAGGAGCUAUCGAGGACGAUGGGGAAGGCGUUUGGCCAUUAUAGGCAACGAGUCAGAAGACCUGCCAUUGCG